rnacentral:rRNA from 1 species
AUGCCUUACACAUGCAAGUCGAACGGCAGCACGGAGCAAUCCUGGUGGCGAGUGGCGAACGGGUGAGUAAUAUAUCGGAACGUGCCCAGUCGUGGGGGAUAACGUAGCGAAAGCUACGCUAAUACCGCAUACGAUCUAUGGAUGAAAGCGGGGGAUCGCAAGACCUCGCGCGAUUGGAGCGGCCGAUAUCAGAUUAGGUAGUUGGUGAGGUAAAGGCUCACCAAGCCGACGAUCUGUAGCUGGUCUGAGAGGACGACCAGCCACACUGGGACUGAGACACGGCCCAGACUCCUACGGGAGGCAGCAGUGGGGAAUUUUGGACAAUGGGCGCAAGCCUGAUCCAGCAAUGCCGCGUGCAGGAUGAAGGCCUUCGGGUUGUAAACUGCUUUUGUACGGAACGAAACGGUGAGCUCUAAUACAGUUUGCUAAUGACGGUACCGUAAGAAUAAGCACCGGCUAACUACGUG